CCUACGGGAGGCAGCAGUGGGGAAUAUUGGGCAAUGGGCGCAAGCCUGACCCAGCAACGCCGCGUGAAGGAAGAAGGCUUUCGGGUUGUAAACUUCUUUUCUCAGGGACGAAGAAAGUGACGGUACCUGAGGAAUAAGUCACGGCUAACUACGUGCCAGCAGCCGCGGGAAUACGUAGGUGGCAAGCGUUAUCCGGAUUCAUUGGGUGUAAAGGGCGUGUAGGCGGGAGCGCAAGUCAGAUGUGAAAACUCAGGGCUGAACCCUGAGCCUGCAUUUGAAACUGUGUUUCUUGAGUGCUGGAGAGGCAAUCGGAAUGCCGUGUGUAGCGGUGAAAUGCGUAGAUAUACGGAGGAACACCGGUGGCGAAGGCAGAUUGCUGGACAGUAACUGACGCUGAGGCGCGAAAGCGUGGGGAGCAAACAGGAUUAGAUACCCGAGUAGUC
rnacentral:rRNA from 1 species